CCUACGGGAGGCUGCAGUCGAGAAUCUUCGGCAAUGGGCGAAAGCCUGACCGAGCGACGCCGCGUGCGGGAUGAAGGCCCUCGGGUUGUAAACCGCUGUCGUAGGGGAGGAAAUCUAUCGGGGUUCUCCCCGGUAGUUGACCUAUCCUAGGAGGAAGUACGGGCUAAGUUCGUGCCAGCAGCCGCGGUAAGACGAACCGUACGAACGUUAUUCGGAAUUACUGGGCUUAAAGGGUUUGUAGGCGGCCUUGUAAGUCAGGUGUGAAAUCCCUCGGCUCAACCGAGGAAUGGCGCUUGAUACUGCAAGGCUUGAGGGAGACAGGGGUAAGCGGAACUGAUGGUGGAGCGGUGAAAUGCGUUGAUAUCAUCAGGAACACCGGUGGCGAAAGCGGCUUACUGGGUCUCUUCUGACGCUGAGGAACGAAAGCUAGGGUAGCGAAC
rnacentral:rRNA from 1 species